AGUGAACGCUGGCGGUAGGCCUAACACAUGCAAGUCGAACGGCAGCACAGUAAGAGCUUGCUCUUACGGGUGGCGAGUGGCGGACGGGUGAGGAAUACAUCGGAAUCUACUUUUUCGUGGGGGGUAACGUAGGGAAACUUACGCUAAUACCGCAUACGACCUACGGGUGAAAGCAGGGGAUCUUCGGACCUUGCGCGAUUGAAUGAGCCGAUGUCGGAUUAGCUAGUUGGCGGGGUAAAGGCCCACCAAGGCGACGAUCCGUAGCUGGUCUGAGAGGAUGAUCAGCCACACUGGAACGGAGACACGGUCCCGACUCCUACGGGAGGCAGCAGUGGGGAAUAUUGGACAAUGGGCGCAAGCCUGAUCCAGCAAUACCGCGUGGGUGAAGAAGGACUUCGGGUUGUAAAGCCCUUUUGUUGGGAAAGAAAAGCAGCAGGUUAAUACCCCGCUGUUCUGACGGUACCCAAAGAAUAAGCACCGGCUAACUUCGUG
rnacentral:rRNA from 1 species